UGGGGAAUAUUGCACAAUGGGCGCAAGCCUGAUGCAGCCAUGCCGCGUGUGUGAAGAAGGCCUUCGGGUUGUAAAGCACUUUCAGCGAGGAGGAAGGGUAGUGUGUUAAUAGCACAUUGCAUUGACGUUACUCGCAGAAGAAGCACCGGCUAACUCCGUGCCAGCAGCCGCGGUAAUACGGAGGGUGCAAGCGUUAAUCGGAAUUACUGGGCGUAAAGCGCACGCAGGCGGUUUGUUAAGUCAGAUGUGAAAUCCCCGCGCUUAACGUGGGAACUGCAUUGGAAACUGGCAAGCUAGAGUCUUGUAGAGGGGGGUAGAAUUCCAGGUGUAGCGGUGAAAUGCGUAGAGAUCUGGAGGAAUACCGGUGGCGAAGGCGGCCCCCUGGACAAAGACUGACGCUCAGGUGCGAAAGUGUGGGGAGCAAACA
rnacentral:rRNA from 1 species